rnacentral:snoRNA from 1 species
CCCCUCGAUGAUGAAGAUAUGGUUCAGUACAUAAUUACAGGACUAGAUGAGGAUUUUAGUCCAAUCGUGUCAGCGUUGUGUGCAAAAUCAGAACCUAUGAUAGUAGGAGAGCUGUAUUCACAGCUUCUGAAUUAUGACU